rnacentral:lncRNA from 1 species
GGGCGCGCAGGCGGCGCGGGUGCGCGGUGCGGCGCUGGUAUCCAGAGGACGCGGUCACCGCCUCUGGCAUUUGUCGUUCUGCGCUUCUCCGCAAGGACCCUCUGUUAGGCAGGCGCCCACCGUAAGCCUCCCGGGCCUUGUGAACCUGCAAACCCAAGUCUGAGAGACGAUCCGCCUUCAGCGCUUUCCAGCUUGGCAGAGAGGCUUUCCCGGCGGGGAUCUUUGGUUGGCGCUGGCGAUGCGCGGGGAAGAAAGGCGAGGAGCGGCGUCCAGGCUGGGUGAUGUCCCAGCACGAGUAGGCGGGAUGCGCUCGCUUGGUCCUCCGGGCGCCCGGUCCCUGCCCGCGUCGCGCGCCCACCCCUGGGGACGAGAAGGCGGCCGCCUGAGGACCCCCGCCCGCGACCUCCGCGAGUCUGGAGCGCAGAGGACAGGGUCUGGCUGCUCUUUGGCCUUGGAUGGAAAGUGGGGAAUUGGGUGGGGGGCUGCGGACCCCUUAACGUGGAUUACUUGGUGUGUAUCAGCUGGGCUCAGAAGACCCACGACCUCUUCUCCAUCCGUGGAUUGAUUUGUUCUGCUUAACAGCUGGGUCGCCAAGCUGGAGGUAUUUUUCCCUCUCCACCCUGGUCUUCUCCUGUAACGUGUGGCCGCCUUUUCCAGCACGGCCUCCUGCCUUCCUGGUGCACUUUUUGGAGAACGUGGUGGAAUCAGAGGUUUCUGGCUGACUCGGUGGGUGCUUUGAACCAGGAAAGGACAAGAAAGAGAAGAUCAGGUUCAAGUUGCCAGCCAGACUCUGGGCUUCCAGGAGGAGUGGGCUGUGGAUGGCCUGGCCUCAUUUGCAUGUCCCUCUCCUCCCGGCCCUGCAGGUGCCACCUCCUGAGUCCUGGUUCCUGCGGCUCCGUCGAAUCUGCAGUGAAGGCCUUUGGGAAGCGUGGGUUAUGUGGGUCCAGGGGUCCCAUCCUCCCGUGGAGGCCCUUGACCUGAGGAUCACUAACUCACACCCCACCGACUUCCGGCCCCCAACAAGGGCAGUGUUCCUCUUGCUCCAUUCUGCUCUGAAGUCCCCCAAACCGCUUCCUGGGGCUGCUUAGUGAAAUACAAGGCUCAUCUCUGAGGACCUCUACAGGGCUGGAUGGGAAGGACUGAUCCACAUUCCCACCAGGAAGUUUAGCAGAACCCCCGCGUGCCACCUGGACCCCUUGGAAGGACCUGGCUCAGGCUGGACCACCUCUUGAGAGGCAGGAGCUCUGGAUUUGAUCAAGAAUUCUUUGCUGAGCAUGGUGCCUCAUGCCUAUAAUCCCAACACUUUGGGAGGCCAGUGUGGGAGGAUCUCUUGAGCCCAGGAGUUCAAGACUAGCCUGGGCAACACAGAGAGACCCCAUCUCUAAAAUAAUAAUAAUAAUAAAAUAAAAAAUUAGCAGGGCAUGGUGGCAUGUGCCUGUAGUCCCAGCUACCCAGGAGGCUGAGGCAAGAGGAUGGCUGGAGCCUGGGAUGUUGAGGCUGCAAUGAACUGUGAUUACCCCACUGCACUCCAGCCUGGGCAAAAGAGCGAGAGACCCUGUCUCAAAUAAUAAUAAUAAUAAUAAUCUUAUUUUGGAGAAUAAAGAGACCUCUGGAUUUGAGGUGCCAUUUGGGUAGAAAGAAAAGACGUUUACACCGAGAAAUAGUCUGUGUUGCCCUGAAGGAGCAGAGGGAUGCAUCGCUGGAGGUGACCUACAGUUGAAGAAGACUCAUUAUGACAGACCUUGUCCUUCUUCCUUGUGGAAAGUGUUUCCUCUGCUGCUACUGCUCAUGAGACUCUUCCCCCUCCCUGUCCCAGGGAACCAAAGGGCUUUCUACCACACCCUUUCUUGCCCCCCGCCUCCCAUGUCUGCUGUGCCUUUGUACUCAGCAAUUCUUGUUUGCUCCAUUAUCUUCCAGCCGGAUACAGAGUGAAUAGUUAACCACACUUAGGUCAAAUAGGAUCUAAAUUUUUGUUCCUGCUCCGUGUAAAGAGGCCAGUGUUUGUGUGUUGCAAGCAGCCUUGGAAUAGUAACUCUUCUCAUUUGUUUGGGAUCUGGCCACCAAGUUCCAGAAUGAUACACGGAUCAGUGCAGAAGUUCAUCAGGCUCUCGGACCUUAGGGCUGUUGGAGAAGGCUUCAGCAGCAGAACUGAUGGUGAAGGCUCGUGUUCUCCAUCCUCAACUUUCUUUGCUUCGAUCAUACACAAGAAUACAUUUGGAAGGGCAAAAAAUGAACACUGUCGUUCAUUGCAGCCGUGUUUUGUGACACAGAUGCACAGUCUGCUGUGAAGACCUUCUCUCAAGUGGCAUUUGGGAGUCCAUGCCAGAUCAUGGUGCUUCAUGAGAGACUGACAGCUAUCAGGGGUUGUGGCACUUAGUGAGGACUCUCCUCCCCCAGUGUGUGCUGAUGACACAUACACACCUGACAAUAGCUUGAGUCUUCUCUGUUCCUUUUACUCUGUAGCCAACAUACACAUGAUUUAAAACCCUUUCUAAAUAUCUAUCAUGGUUCAUCCUUGUCCAAAUGCAGAGUCAGAGCUAUUUGUACUUCAUUAUUAUUUCCAAGGCGAAUAGUUGGCUUUCUUUUUGCAAAAAUAAUUAAAGUUUUUGUAUGUUGCAGUUG